CUCUGCUGUUACGUGACACUUCCUACGGCUCCCAUGGGCUCUCAGAAGGCGGCAAAAAGCUGAAUCGUGGCUUUUCAGGCUCUGGCUGAAAAAAAGUAGCGCGUUUGGAUAGUGGCUGGUUACAGUACUGUGAGACUCAGGCUCGUGCCCGCGUCGACCCCAUGUUUUGUUUUCUUUCGUCUGUUUACCUAAACGCAGAUUCCCGGUCGGAAUAUUAUCGCUUUUUUAUGAGAAAAAUGGCAUAAAAAUUGAUUUUAAACAGCGGUUGACAUGCUUCGAAGUACGGUAAUGGAAUAUUUAGAAAUCUUUUGUCACGAAAUGUGCCAUGCUCGUGACCCUUAUUUACACUUCGGAUAGUGUCUUGAACGCACAAACAAAACGCCGCUGUUUGGAUAUAACUAUGGAUUAUUUUGAACCAAACCAACAUUUGUUAUUGAAGUAGCAGUCCUGGGAGUGCAUUCUGACGAAGACAGCAAAGUAAACCAGCAGCAUGAGAGAAGUUUGGACGGGAUCCCUCUCCAUGCUUACUCCAUUGGACUCAUGUCGUACUCCUGAUAGCUUCGACUGGAUGCUGUGUACAGGUUGCUGGCUUGGACUCAGGUCUCACGGUAGAAGUGGUGAAGGACCAUACUGAACGCCAUUGUCACCAUUACUUCAGCCGCUUAGAGGGGGUGUUAAGGGUCACACUGUUCUUGGUCAAAUUAUCCCUUCCAUGCAUCUAAUUAUUCCUUCCAUGCAUCACACCCUGAUCUGUUUAACCUGUCUUUGUGCUUGUCUUCACCCCCCUCCAGGUGUUGCCCACCUUUCUCAUUGUCCCCAGUGUAUUUAGACCUGUGUUCUCUGUUUGUCUUUUGCCAGUUAGUUUUUUUUUUCAAGCCUACUAGCGUUUUUUCAGGUGCUCCUGUCUGUCUCUAGUUCCUGUUUUCUAGCUUUCCCAGUUUUUACCAUUCUGCCUGUCCUGACCCUGAGCCUGCCUGUCGUUCUGUACCUUGUCACACCACCCUGGAUUACUGAACUCUGCCUGCCCUGACCCUGCCUGAAGUUAUGUACUUUUUGGACUCUGCUCUGGACUACUGACCUCUGCCUGCCCUUGACCUGUUGUUUGCCUGCCCCCUCUGUUUUUGUAAUAAACUUUUGUUACUUCGAAACUGUCUGCAUCUGGGUUUACUCCUGAGCCUUGACGUCUAGACACCAUCUGUGGUCACCUUCGCCAUCACCUCGAGAGAGGACAGACCAGAAAAACAGUUUAGUUUAGGGCUCAUUCAGGAAAUUCAG
rnacentral:lncRNA from 1 species